AUUGAACGCUGGCGGCAUGCCUUACACAUGCAAGUCGAACGGUAACAGGUCUUCGGAUGCUGACGAGUGGCGAACGGGUGAGUAAUACAUCGGAACGUGCCUAGUGGUGGGGGAUAACUACUCGAAAGAGUGGCUAAUACCGCACGAGAUCUACGGAUGAAAGCAGGGGAUCGCAAGACCUUGUGCUACUAGAGCGGCCGAUGGCAGAUUAGGUAGUUGGUGGGAUAAAAGCUUACCAAGCCGACGAUCUGUAGCUGGUCUGAGAGGACGAUCAGCCACACUGGGACUGAGACACGGCCCAGACUCCUACGGGAGGCAGCAGUGGGGAAUUUUGGACAAUGGGCGCAAGCCUGAUCCAGCAAUACCGCGUGCAGGAUGAAGGCCUUCGGGUUGUAAACUGCUUUUGUACGGAACGAAAAGCCCCGGGUUAAUACCCUGGGGUCAUGACGGUACCGUAAGAAUAAGCACCGGCUAACUACGUGCCAGCCGCCGCCGUAA
rnacentral:rRNA from 1 species